UACGUAGGGGGCUAGCGUUGUCCGGAUUUAUUGGGCGUAAAGAGCGUGUAGGCGGCCAGGUAGGUCUGCUGUGAAAACUCGAGGCUCAACCUCGAGAUGUCGGCGGAAACCAUCUGGCUAGAGUCCGGAAGAGGAAAGUGGAAUUCCUGGUGUAGCGGUGAAAUGCGUAGAUAUCAGGAGGAACACCUGUGGCGAAAGCGGCGCACUGGACCACAACUGACGCUGAGGCGCGAAAGCUAGGGGAGCAAACAGG
rnacentral:rRNA from 1 species